GGUCUUCGUCCUGCACCUGCAUUGGUAAGAACCGUGCUUUCCAGCACUCAGAUGGUUCAUGUUUGUGCAGAACGGGUUUUAUCUUCUACAAUGAACUGGAUUUCAAAAGCUCCACCUCUGACAGUGAACUGGACUGCCAGCCUGAGGUGAACAGACGGUGUGCCACAGGACAAAUACGUCUGGCAGCAUCCAGAGAGUGUGUGUCACCUUCCCUCCACUCCUGUAAUAUCACCUGUGGACCACAUGGAGGAACUCUGGAUGUGGAGAUGGGCAUGUGAAUCUCAAUUGUGCUUUUCUAUUAUAUUGCUAUUUAAACCUGUAAAAUGCUUGUGAUGGUUGACGUAAUGAGUAUGGAUAGUAUCCAGUAAUAUAGCUUGACAUAGUAUUUGACCUCUUGUCUAAUCCUGAUGCCCCAGCUGCCGAUGUGAGCGGUACGUGUCUGCUGAAGAGCUCUGCAACACGUCCUGCCUUUCCAGACUGCCUCAGCUCUCUGCCCAGUUCUCCAUAGAUGGCCAAUUGCUGCUCAGCCUAAAAGAAAGAGGCAGCAUGGUCUGGGCCAGGGUAAGGCUGUGAUGGAUGUUUUAGGACCAGAUAUCCAUACAAAGAAUGUUGGUGCAAUCCAUUUGGUCCAGUUUGACUCUGAAGGAGUGUUCGGUUGGAUUCCCACACAGAGAGAGCUUGUCAAUCAGUUUCUGUCAGGUGACGAGAUCAGACACGUCAUAUUGAUUCCAUUCUUUUUUAAAUUGCUUAUCAACACACUUGCUCUCUAUAUCCAGCAUAAUAUAACAGUAGAAUGUAACUGAUUUAACAGUGAUAUACCUCUAUUCAGAACCAAUCAAACUCCUAAAUACAAAACCCAGAAGGAGAAGAGAAACAGAAGACGAUGAUGAUGCUGCCGACGUAGCUGUCCUUCCUCGUAUCCCUAACCCCAUCGCCUGUCUGUCCUCCGGUGACAUGCUCAUUUUCCACCUCACCAUCAACCACACAGACCGUCAUCUCAGCCACUUCCCAGUGUAUCAGAAAGACCACCUGUUUAACAGUAACCCCGGCUGGGACUUUGGUGCCUUCAGACGUCUGCAGAUACUCAUGAUGCAGACGAACUUCAACUCUACUAGGUUUGCUCAUGUGUUUUCAGACACAGGCAAGUAUGUGUUUGUUGACAGCGCUGUCCCAGAGUGGAGUAUGGUGGUGGUGGUCAGCGAGGAGGGGACAGAGUGUGACCGUCGGGCUUCAGUCUUCCAGCCCAUGACCCCGGUACAGCUGGUCAAGUAUGGGAUUGUCAAGCAGCACAGACUCAACCUUCUACCUGACUGGGGAGUGAUAGCAGGGAUCCUGAGUCUGCUGCUGGUUGUUGUUGUGGUUGUCACCACCACAGUGCUUGUCCUGCGACCUGGCAAAGUAAAACUUGUCUCCCAGUGGAGGACAAAGCCAAAGUGGCGCAGCCUCGGGGAGCCCUUCUGUCCAGUGGAUAGUGUUUACAGUGGAGAAAGCAUAGCUGUUCCAAGUCUAGGAGACUUCUUAGGCAGUAGGGGUGUAGGAGAGGGAGCAGAAGCUGAGGAGCCUGCUGUUUCGAAAGGAGGUAAGAUCACCAUUUCUGACCCUGUGCUGAGAGCCCUCCUCCAGAAACAUGAUUAAACCCCCUUAAAACUUAUGGAAGCGAUAUAAAGAAAUCAUGGUGUGUGCAGUGAGUGUGAUGGAGUUUGCAGUGAGUUUGCCAGCUGAGUCCUAGGAAAUGAUCUUGUGAAUUAUAUUAUGUUGUAUGCUGAAAUGGCCACAAAGCACAUAGUAUAAGGGAUUUUAUAGUGAGGGGCAACUAUC
ensembl:lncRNA